AUGUUGGAAAUCUGCUUGAUGGCCACCGGUGACCACCGGUGGUUCUGUGGGACCGCCGCCUAAGUUAUACCACAAAUUAUUAUACCGCUGUUUUUACUUGCAUUGUAGAAUCCGGCCUUAGUCGUAUAUUUGACGUAAAAUUACCGCCAAGUGAUCCAGAUAAACAAUUUCUUGACAAGACAGAGUAAACAAGUAUUUUGUGUCGACUUGUAAUUAAUGAGUAUUGUUCAAAACCAACGGAUAGUUGAUUUUUGGAUUUUCGAUCAGUUUUAUAUUGAAAAUACAGUCGCAGUAAUCCGCCGAAACAAUCUCCGGCAAAGUGUCGAAAAUCGUAUAUGCAUACCGGCGUAUUCGUUGGUGAUACAUUUGUCCCUUCACUCCUAUAUCGAACAGACCCUAUUUCGAUCGGCAUUAGUUGCAGACUGGCAUUAGUAAGUGUGAAAUUUUUGCGGCUGAUUAACCGCCGCGCGCCUGAUCAUGUCGGACAAAAAAUAGUUGCGAUAGGUGUGAGAUAAUUAGAAGAGAUGGAGAAGAAGAUCUACAAUAGAACAUUAACGUGAAGAGAAGAUAAUUGAUGAUGAUUUUGACAGCAAUUUAGACCAGGAGUCAGAAGUUACUGAAAGUAACGUUUAUAGCAGUGGUUCUGGACAAUAAGCAGAUGAAGGAGAAGCAGAAUUUGAACCACUCGAACAAGACAAGGAUUAUCAACUUUUUAUUGGAAAAAACAAUGAU